UAAAAUUUCUAUAUCAGUUUUAUCUGCACAAUUUUAUCAUUAUGGAAAACAUAGACUACACUAUGUUUUAUGUUUAUCAUUUAUAGCACAUGUUUAUUAGCAUAAAUACAUUUUUAUUUAUACAUAAAGCAUUUUAUCCUAGCCAUAACCUUUACCACUAAUUAGUAGUAAUAUAUUGUCUCUACAAAAGACAAGAAAUCAUAGUAAUGGUAGGGAUGUCUGUCUAAAUAUGUAGCUGAAUAAGUAUGUCUAAGUAAGUAGCUUCAGUAAGAGCCGUAGCCCGGGUCAUGGCGUGAGGGGCUCAGCCGCUGCCUGCAGCACCAGUGUUCCAUGUGGCUGUGGGUUCGAGUCCCGGCUGCUCCACUUCCAAUCCAGCUCCCUGUAAUGCUCCUGGGAAAGCAGUGGAAGAUGGGCCAAGUUCUGGGGCCCCUGCACCCAUGUGGGAGACCCGGAUGAAGGGGAGAGAGAGAGAGAGAGAGAGAGAGAGAGAGAAGCUUUGGCCUGGCCCAGCCCUGGCCGCUGUGGCCAUCUGGGGAGUGAACCAGUGGACGGAAGAUCGACUCUGCCUCUCUGAUAAAUGAAUCCAUCUUCCGUGUUUUCUGGGGGAGCUUCCAGGGGCCGCUCCGCGGCGGCGUGGUCGGAGCUGCAGGUUUUUCCCAGCAGACGGGCAGUGUUAUUGGCAAUGACAGGACAGAGCCGGAGGACCUGCCCUGUGGGGCCUUUGGCUGCUGAGCUGGCCCCGGGUAGAACGGGGAUGGGAAGAAACGCACCGUAGAAAGCUGCCUUCACGGGCUCGUGCAGGAGAACCGAUUAGUUACGUAAAGAAGUUGUGUGCACCCAGGACGGGAUGGGAGCUUGGUGGAGCGAGGGACCCCAGGCUCCUUACGCUGGGGCACCCCCCUCCGCCAGGGGCAGAGUGGCAACGUAAACACGCCAAGCUUUGAUGUUUCCUAGACGCCAAGGUAACCCAAACAUUUCCAGUAUUCAGACAAACAGGGAUGUAGAACGUAAAAUCUGCACAAACGUUUGGGGUGAAACAGGAGACGUCCAGGAAUUCCCCAGGAGUGGCAGCUGGCCGGGACCGAGAGCACAGCUGCCCGCUCCUCCUGCGAGGUGCCGGCCGCCGUCUCUGCUGGGAGUAGCUGGAGGUCUAAAUGCUCCAAGAUACCCUGCGGUGCAAAGCAAACCUGGCUGCCCACGCACGGCGGCUUCCUGUCGCUCGUGGACGUAGGGCAUGCGACGGGCAGCCGCCAGCACAGCAACGGAGGAGCUCGGGGACAUGGCUGGGCAGGCUGUG
rnacentral:lncRNA from 1 species